AUACGGAGGGUGCAAGCGUUAUCCGGAAUCAUUGGGUUUAAAGGGUCCGCAGGCGGAUUAAUAAGUCAGUGGUGAGAUCCUCUCGCUCAACGAGAGAACUGCCAUUGAAACUGUUAGUCUCGAAUUCGGUCGAAGUAGGCGGAAUGUGUCAUGUAGCGGUGAAAUGCAUAGAUAUGACACAGAACACCGAUAGCGAAGGCAGCUUACUAGACCUGGAUUGACGCUCAUGGACGAAAGCGUGGGGAGCGAACAGGAUUAGAAACCCCAGUAGUCC
rnacentral:rRNA from 1 species